rnacentral:rRNA from 1 species
UACGUAGGGUGCGAGCGUUAAUCGGAAUUACUGGGCGUCAAGCGUGCGCAGGCGGUUUUGUAAGCCGGAUGUGAAAUCCCCGGGCUUAACCUGGGAAUGGCAUUCGGGACUGCAAGGCUGGAGUGCGGCAGAGGAGACUGGAAUUCCUGGUGUAGCAGUGAAAUGCGUAGAUAUCAGGAGGAACACCGAUGGCGAAGGCAGGUCUCGUGGCUGGACACUGACGCUCAUGCACGAAAGCGUGGGGAGCAAACAGG